GACGAACGCUGGCGGCGUGCUUAACACAUGCAAGUCGAGCGGAAAGGCCCUUUCGGGGGUACUCGAGCGGCGAACGGGUGAGUAACACGUGAGUAAUCUGCCUCUGGCUUCGGGAUAGCCACCGGAAACGGUGAUUAAUACCGGAUAUGACAUCUUCACGCAUGUGAUGGGUGUGGAAAGUUUUUUCGGCCAGGGAUGUGCUCGCGGCCUAUCAGCUUGUUGGUGGGGUAAUGGCCUACCAAGGCUUCGACGGGUAGCCGGCCUGAGAGGGUGACCGGCCACACUGGGACUGAGACACGGCCCAGACUCCUACGGGAGGCAGCAGUGGGGAAUAUUGGACAAUGGGCGGAAGCCUGAUCCAGCAACGCCGCGUGAGGGAUGACGGCCUUCGGGUUGUAAACCUCUUUCAGCACAGACGAAGCGCAAGUGACGGUAUGUGCAGAAGAAGGACCGGCCAACUACGUGCCAGCAGCCGCGGUAACAC
rnacentral:rRNA from 1 species